CGCGAAGGCAAGCGGAUCUCUUAAAGCUGUUCUCAGUUCGGACUGCAGUCUGCAACUCGACUGCACGAAGCUGGAAUCGCUAGUAAUCGCGGAUCAGCACGCCGCGGUGAAUACGUUCCCGGGCCUUGUACACACCGCCCGUCACACCAUGGAAGUCUGCAAUGCCCGAAGCCGGUGGCCUAACCACUUAUGUGGAAGGAGCCGUCUAAGGCAGGGCAGAUGACUGGGGUGAAGUCGUAACAAGGUAUC
rnacentral:rRNA from 1 species